rnacentral:tRNA from 1 species
GCCUGUUUAGCUCAGUGGUAGAGCGCGCCACUCGUAAUGGUGAGGUCGCUCGUUCGAUCCGGGCAAUAGGCA